CCUACGGGCGGCAGCAGUGAGGAAUAUUGGUCAAUGGACGAGAGUCUGAACCAGCCAAGUAGCGUGAAGGAUGACUGCCCUACGGGUUGUAAACUUCUUUUAUAUGGGAAUAAAAUGUUCCACGUGUGGGUUUUUGUAUGUACCAUAUGAAUAAGGAUCGGCUAACUCCGUGCCAGCAGCCGCGGUAAUACGGAGGAUCCGAGCGUUAUCCGGAUUUAUUGGGUUUAAAGGGAGCGUAGGUGGGUUGUUAAGUCAGUUGUGAAAGUUUGCGGCUCAACCGUAAAAUUGCAGUUGAAACUGGCAGUCUUGAGUACAGUAGAGGUGGGCGGAAUGCGUGGUGUAGCGGUGAAAUGCUUAGAUAUCACGAAGAACUCCGAUUGCGAAGGCAGCUCACUGGACUGCAACUGACACUGAGGCUCGAAAGUGUGGGUAUCAAACAGGAUUAGAUACCCCUGUAGUC
rnacentral:rRNA from 1 species